CCCUUAGAUGUCCUGGGCUGCGCGCGCGCUACACUGAUGUGUCCAGUAAGCACCUAACCUAUUCCGAGAGGAGCGGGUAACCUUAGCAAAGCACAUCGUGAUGGGGAUAGAUUAUUGCAAUUAUUAGUCUUGAACGAGGAAUUCCUAGUAAGCACAAGUCAUCAGCUUGUGUUGAUUACGUCCCUGCCCUUUGUACACACCGCCCGUCGCUCCUACCGAUUGAAUGUUCCGGUGAGCUCUUCGGACUGCGCGGUCUGCAGUUUCUGCGUUCCGUGCGGAAAGUUGUGCAAACCUUAACAUUUAGAGGAAGGAGAAGUCGUAACA
rnacentral:rRNA from 1 species